UGGAAAAUCCCAUAGAUGGAGGAGCCUGGUAGGCUAUCGUCCAUGUGGUCGCAAAGAGUCAGACACGACUGAGCGACUUCACUUUUUCCACUAAUGCCGAGCACAGUGCCUGGAGAUUAAAGCACAUAGGAGAUUAGGAGACUAAAACAAUUACCUGCUCUUAUAUAAACCCUUCGCUCUUAGGUGGAUCAAUGUUCUCUUAGGAACUAUCUAUUUCAUGGACAGAUCUUGUUUUCUCUGAAUGCUAAGUAUUCUAAGUUUUUCACUAUAUAUAGCAACAGGCCCAAGACCACAAAAUGUGCUCUAAAAUGUUCUAAAGCUGUUCACACAAUGUUAAAGAACACAAAAUGUCUUGUAAAAUGUUCUAAAGAUGUUCAGAAAAUGCUAAAGCAAGGAAAACUUUAUGUUAACAUGACAAUACUUAGCAGACUUUCCUCUUGCUGCCAGGGACACAAUGAACAUUAGAUUUGAACAACUCUGCAACUAAUCAGCUUUUAUUAGUAACUAGAAGUUAAUAUAGAGACCAUUGCCAAUUCCUAAGUGAUUAUUAUGGGUAAACCAUCCAAAGUAACCUUAUAUAACAUAAAAAGUAAAACAGCUUAUGCUUCCUGAAAUGUACAAUGCCCAGGGUUAAAUACUUAAACACCCACAUAACAUUAAGGACUCAGAUGGCAGGCCAGAAAUCAACAAAAACUGAUCUAAGGGGGUGUGGAUGAGAUAAUUUUCUCUGUGCUACCCUAGUAUAAGCUGAACCCAUUUAAAAAUAUUAUGUUUAAAUCUGGAUCAGGACAAGUUAUUUUCCUACUAGGAUUAGAUAGGAGUGGUCAAUAUACACAAAACCUGUAAUAUUCACACAUACUUGAAGUCUACCAAAUAAACAUCAGAUUAUAUCCUGGGAAAGCUACUGAUUGGUACAGGUAAUCAUAAUUGAAGUAAGGAGCUGGUAAAUGAGUGAACUAAAGUGUUAAACAUUCAGAUCUCCUCAGAGAUGUGAUUUGAAAAAACAGUGCUAAGAUUAAAGUGAUAAACUAUUCCAGUCUUCUGUUAUUUUUAAAAAGUUCCCUAUAUUUCUUUGCCUGGACUAUUAUAACUUACACUUCUCACUGCCCCUUAUUUGUACCAACCACACUUGCAUGUCAAUUUAUUCCAAUAAUUUUUAAACCAACAGUUUUAAGUAAAUUUUCAAUUGUUCAGUGAAAAGAGUCAAAUGGCCUGAACCCAAUUUGGGGCCUAUUGCUUAUCAACUCCUUGGGCAACUAAGCCUGUCUGCACUUCAGCUCCUUCAACUGUAAAAUAAGAGUAAAAAUCUCCUUAGAUGGAUAUUGUGAGGACUGGAGAUUUUACACACAGCUUAUUAUAGUAGCUUUUCACAAAGCAGACCUUCAAGAAAUGGUAACAACUGCUACUGGGAGUUGUGUGUCCUAAUAGUAACAAGAAUGGUAGUAAGUUAAAUACAAUUAAUUGUUCUAUGCCAAUUCGUCAAACAUACUUGAUAUUAAAGAGCUUCCAACUAAAACAGAGGGAUGGGAUAGAUUGUAAGGUUAUCAGUUUUUGUUUUAUACCAAACAACUAAGGGGAGUUCAAUUCAAAAAUUUAGUUUGAUCUUAGUUGUUAACAGGGAAGGGAAAGUUCUUUAGUUCCCUCUAGGUGAUGGUCAAAUAGUUGUAGCAAUGUCCAGGUUUAACUUGCAGUUAGUCAAAAAUUAAGAGAAAAACUUUGGAAAGUAAUCUUCCCUUUCCCAUUCUUUUAAUGUUCCUUGAUAUCAUAAAAGCAAUAUCUGCUAAUUGAGGGGCAAUCAAAAUAACCAAAAAGGACUCAGAAAGUUUUAUGUCAUCUUAAUUUCUUUUUUCCCAACAGGAAGAAAAUAAACUUCCUAAAGCAUUCUUUUAAAAUAAACAGGAGCCACAGCAAUGGAAGUAUUUUUUUAAAAUUGCAUCCAGUCUUUUCAUCUCAUUAAAAACAGUGCUUGUUAAAGAACAAAAAGUUGGCUUGUCGCAGUAAAAGACCACUCACUGGGAAGGGAGCAGACAAAUGCUAUACGCUAGUCAUUUCUGGUCACUCAUGAUUUAGAUAACAAGGAGCAACCACUGACACCCUAAACUGAUAUUAAGUGAAAAUGGGGAGGAGGGUUCUGACUGGUUUCAAAGAGAAAGCUUUAAAACCUUAGGCAAACACCCAAUAUCCUUUAUCCGGUGGGAAAAACAUAAUACAGUAUUGUACCAUUCAAGCACUUUCCGACAUCAACAGUCACACCAUCCACCCACUCCCACCUACUUGCAGGGGACCAAAUGUCCUCCCUAGAGACCCAGGGUGGGGAGGGCUGAGCGCUGCCUCUUGCCUUGUCGGCGGGGACAGACUUUGGCCCUCUAAGAUAAGGAUGUAGAGAAUCCCUAACCAAACAGGCCGGCCAAAGAACAGCUGCCACCCAAUGCCUGGGAAGGCAGCAGUAGAAGUGUUCGGCACCUGGAAUAAAAAGUUGGGCGCUCAGCUUUCCCGGGGCAUGGUAGUCACAACGCAAGAUAUCAACAAAAGUAACUGAAGAAGAAGUAUCAGAACUCAAGUCUCUGAGUGGCAGUCGAGGAACCAGAUUGUUUUGUGACUAUCAAUGGCUGAAAAAGCCAAAUCAUGAAGAACUGUCAUUCCCUGAUGGCUCAGCAGUAAAGAAUCCGCCUGCAAUGCAGGGGACACAGGAAAUGCAUACUUUGAAGAUAUUGUGGGUUUGGUUCCAGGCUGCCACAAUAAAAUGAAUAUUGCAAUAAAGAGGCAUCACCUGCUUGCAUGGAAGUAGGAAUAGCUGAAUUGGGUGGCCUGGACUGCAGAGGAGCGAAGCACUUUGUCAGGGUCCAGCCUGAGAUGGGCUAGAAAGAAGCCUGGAAGCCUGGGCAAAAGACUGUCUCUGAGCUUCAGUUUCCCCGAGUGAAGAGUGAAGCCAUCACAUGCUAGAGGUGCGUCUGGGAGCCUUUCCGGAUUACUGCAUGGAGGGCUGCUUGGAAGAGGCUUCCUGGAAGAGGGUGCACUAACUUCCGGGACAUGUCCAUCAUGGGGAGGGAUGGGCCCAGAGAAUACAUUCCUUGGGAAAGUACACAUGGAAAUGUGAGGAUGGCUUACUCCAGCACCUGGAAACCUUACCAUAUCAUUCAUAUUUAAGCCAGAACGUAAACAUACUGAAAACUAACACAUGUGUGCCAGGUUCGAGUCUGUUUAGCUUGCCUCAUGCAUGGAUCACAGAUGGGGAGAGCCACU